GGUUUCGUAGUGUAGCGGUUAUCACUGCGGAUUCUGAUGUCUUACUCACCUUCCGCCAACCCCGGUUCGAUUCCGGGCGAGACCU
rnacentral:tRNA from 1 species